UUACGCUGGGAGAGCGCAUGGGCAGACAAACGGUACGUCCGUUUGUCCGGAGCUGAGGGGCCGUGGGCGCCAUCUUCUUCUGGGCUCACUGAGGGCUCUACCUGUUCUGGGGAGGCUGCGGCGACGAAGAGUGCCCUCAGCCUCCGGCCUUGUGUGUCCGACUCGGCAGCAGUGGUGUGUGUUUGCCAAGUGCGAAGCAGUUCCCCUCUGGGCGCCGGGGAUGGGGAGGGCUGGGCGACCAAGCCGGAAGAACGGGGAAAGGCGGGGCCGGCGGUCGCCCCUGGAUCUAGCGUAGCUCCUGCAGUUAGGGCACCCUCUUUUCUUGCUAAAACACCGACUCUCCCUUUCCCGUCAGCUUCCAUGUGGUGGUGUAUGUGCGCUUCCCAGGGAUCUUGAGAGUGAAGAUCUCGAAGGAUUUCAUAGUUAAGUUGCUUUUACAGAAUUAACAGGUCUCCAAGAAAUUUUAAAAAAGGUCAUUAUUGCUGUGGUUUGAGCUCAGCAUGGCUGUAGUCAUCCGUUUACUGGGGCUUCCUUUUAUUGCGGGGCCUGUGGAUAUUCGUCACUUCUUCACGGGAUUGACUAUUCCUGAUGGAGGAGUGCAUAUAAUUGGAGGGGAAAUUGGGGAGGCUUUUAUUAUUUUUGCAACAGAUGAAGAUGCAAGACGUGCCAUAAGUCGUUCAGGAGGGUUUAUCAAGGAUUCAUCUGUAGAGCUCUUUCUUAGUAGCAAGGCAGAAAUGCAGAAGACUAUAGACAUGAAAAGAACUGAUCGUGUAGGAAGAGGGCGCCCACGAUCUGGGGCAUCAGGGGUUGGCAGCCUGUCCCAUUUUAUUGAGUCUGUUAAGGAAGAAGCAAGUAAUUCUGGAUAUGGCUCUUCAAUUAAUCAAGAUGCUGGGUUUCAUACUAAUGGUACAGGACAUGGUAAUUUAAGGCCAAGAAAGACAAGGCCAUUGAAGGCUGAGAAUCCUUACUUGUUUCUACGAGGUUUGCCUUACCUAGUAAAUGAAGAUGAUGUACGUGUCUUUUUCUCUGGUUUGUGUGUGGAUGGAGUAAUUUUCUUAAAACAUCAUGAUGGCCGAAAUAAUGGUGAUGCCAUAGUAAAAUUUGCUUCCUGCGUUGAUGCUUCCGGAGGUCUUAAAUGUCAUAGAAGUUUUAUGGGUUCAAGAUUUAUAGAAGUAAUGCAAGGAUCAGAACAACAGUGGAUUGAGUUUGGUGGUAAUGCAGUUAAGGAGGGUGACAUUCUUAGGAGAUCUGAAGAACAUUCUCCACCAAGAGGAAUUAAUGAUAGACAUUUUCGAAAACGAUCUCAUUCAAAAUCUCCCAGAAGGACACGUUCUCGUUCCCCUCUUGGAUUUUAUGUUCACUUAAAAAAUCUGUCCCUCAGUAUUGAUGAAAGAGAUUUAAGAAAUUUCUUUAGAGGGACUGAUCUGACUGAUGAACAGAUUAGAUUUUUAUAUAAAGAUGAAAAUAGAACAAGAUAUGCCUUUGUGAGGUUCAAGACUCUGAAAGACUACAAUACUGCUCUGAGUUUACAUAAGACUGUUUUACAGUAUCGUCCCGUUCAUAUUGAUCCAAUUUCUAGAAAACAAAUGCUGAAGUUCAUUGCACGUUAUGAAAAGAAGAGAUCAGGGUCACUAGAGAGAGACAGGCCUGGACAUGUUUCACAGAAAUACUCUCAAGAAGGUAACUCUGGCCAGAAGCUAUGCAUCUAUAUAAGAAAUUUUCCAUUUGAUGUUACAAAAGUUGAAGUGCAGAAGUUCUUUGCAGACUUUCUUCUUGCCGAGGAUGACAUUUGCUUGCUUUAUGAUGACAAAGGUGUUGGUCUGGGAGAAGCAUUAGUGAAAUUUAAAUCAGAAGAACAGGCCAUGAAAGCUGAACGUUUAAACCGACGAAGAUUCUUAGGGACAGAGGUAUUAUUAAGACUUAUAUCUGACGCACAAAUGCAGGAGUUUGGUGUAAAUUUUUCCUUGAUGUCCAGUGAGAAGAUGCAAGCUCGUUCACAGUCACGUGAGCGAAGUGAUCAUUCCCAUUUAUUUGACUCAAAAGACCCACCAAUAUACUCAGUUGGUCCUUUUGAAAGCUUUAGACAUCAGCUGGAGGACCUGAGGCAACUGGAUAACUUCAAGCAUCCCCAGAGGGAUUUCCGGCAGCCUGACAGGCACCCUCCAGAAGACUUCCGACACUCCUCAGAGGAUUUCAGGUUUCCCCCGGAGGACUUCAGGCGUUCCCCAGAGGACUUCAGGCGACCUCGGGAAGAGGACUUCAGACGGCCUUCUGAGGAGGACUUCAGGCGCCCUUGGGAGGAAGAUUUCAGGCGCCCUCCGGAGGAUGACUUCAGGCACCCUAGGGAGGAAGACUGGAGGAGGCCCCUUGAGGAGGAUUGGAGGCGGCCACUGGAGGAGGAUUUCAGGCGGUCUCCCACGGAGGACUUCAGGCAGCUUCCUGAGGAGGACUUCAGGCAACCUCCUGAGGAGGACUUCAGGCGGCUCCCAGAGGAAGAUUUCAGGCGGCCAUCCGAGGAGGACUGGAGACGGCCCCCAGAGGAGGACUUCAGGCGGCCUCUUCAGGGAGAAUGGAGGCGACCACCCGAGGAUGACUUCAGGCGGCCCCCAGAGGAGGAUUUCAGGCACUCCCCUGAGGAGGACUUCAGGCAGUCACCCCAGGAGCAUUUCCGGAGGCCACCUCAGGAGCAUUUCCGGCGGCCACCCCCGGAGCAUUUUCGGCGGCCACCCCCGGAGCAUUUCAGGCGGCCACCCCCGGAGCAUUUCCGGCGGCCGCCCCCGGAGCAUUUCAGGCGGCCGCCCCCCGAGCACUUCCGGAGACCGCCCCAGGAGCAUUUCAGGCGUCCGCCUCAGGAGCAUUUCAGGCGUCCGCCUCAGGAGCAUUUCAGGCGCUCUCGAGAGGAAGAUUUCAGGCACCCACCAGAUGAAGAUUUCAGGAGCCCUCCCGAUGAAGACUUUAGGCACCCACCUGAUGAGGACUUCAGGAACCCCCAAGAGGAAGAUUUUAGAUGCCCUUCUGAUGAGGACUUCAGGCAGCUCCCAGAGGAAGACCUUAGGGAAGCUCUGGAGGAGGACCCUAGACUUCCUGACAAUUUUAGACCUCCUGGUGAGGAUUUUAGGAGCCCGCCUGAUGAUUUCAGAAGUCACCGCCCUUUUGUGAAUUUUGGUCGCCCAGAAGGUGGCAAGUUUGAUUUUGGAAAGCAUAAUAUGGGAAGUUUUGCUGAGGGGAGAUUUAUUCCUGAUCCAAAGAUAAAUUGUGGUUCAGGUAGAGUAACUCCUAUUAAGAUAAUGAAUCUUCCAUUUAAAGCUAAUGUUAAUGAAAUUUUAGACUUUUUCCAUGGUUACAGAAUCAUACCUGAUUCAGUUUCAAUACAGUAUAAUGAGCAAGGCUUACCUACAGGGGAAGCCAUUGUUGCUAUGAUAAACUAUAAUGAAGCUAUGGCUGCUAUUAAAGAUCUAAAUGAUAGGCCAGUUGGGCCCCGAAAAGUUAAAUUAACUUUGCUAUAGAGAGCAUUUCUAAAUUCAGUUAUCUUCCUUGCAGUAUUGAUAGAGUAAAAUACAUUUGUUUUUAAAAGGUGUUUUUUUUUUUUAAUCUAGUGAAGUGUUUUAAUUUUGACCUGUGAAUAGAACAAAUGUAAAUAGUAGAAUGUGAAUCUGGUUUUCUUUUGCUUGCAAAUUGCCAUUCAUUUUUUUUCUAAUUUAAAAUUAUACAUGCUGUUCUUUUCUUUGAUGGUGAGAAAGAAUUCCCUGAGUUCAUUCAUUUUUGUUGAUGUCAUGGGUAAGCUUCAAGACUCACUGAAGUAGAGUUGUAUUUGGGGAAGUUACAUUUCACUUUUUUUUCAUUCUGUAGUCUACAUUUUUUACUCAAACUAUGUAAGGAAAUAGUGACUGACUGUUCAGGUUUGGCAUUUUCAUUGCUACCUGCCUGCAGAAUUAACGCCCUCUUUCUUGUCUGAGAUAUUACUGUGUUAAGUGUCCUGUUAAUUAUAAAUAGUUCAAAAUGGACAGUCAACUUGAAAUUUACUUAUGUAAAAAGCUUAGGUGAUUCUUAGGGUUUCCAUGUUCAAAACUUUACAAAGUUUUAUAAAAAUAAAAUUGCAACUUAAUAGAGCAACUAAUUAACUUGUAUUUGUAUAAAAAGAAAAAAGAAUUGCAGCUUGAUAUUGUGAAGUUUUUCAAUAGCUUUAUUAAACCAUAUUUCUGAUGAGAGGGACCAGACAUUCUAUAAUAAUAAUGUAUAGUGCUGUGUGUAAUCCCAUGGUUUCUUCGACAUCUUAACAAAAUAAGAAUAAUACAACAUAUUCAAAAGACAGUAAAAUAAGAAUCUAAUUGUAGGUGCAAGGGGACUCGGGCUUAUGCUGGGAAGAAUCUGACAAAUGGUAGUUUGUUUUUCUAGGAAGAAUCUACUGAUGAGUCACAUAACUUGCAUGUAAUACUAGGUUCUCAUUUUUUAGCUUCAAAACUUUGUAUCCAUGCAAAGACUCCAUAACUAAGACUUGUGUGGUUGAAUUUUGACUUCUUAGAUAUUCAGCAUUUAGUGCAUACAUUUCUCAGAUAGGAAAUUUGAUUUUCUAUACCCAUAAUAAUAUUAUGGCUAACAGGCACUUACUAUGUGCUAGGCACUGUAAGCACUUUAUAUGCAUAAUCUCAGUAUUCCCUAUGAGUACAGGGUUAAUUAUUUACCUCUGUUUCACAAAUGAGAUAAUGAAGUGGGAGAUUAAGCAACUUGCUUGAAGUCACAGGUAUUAAAUCAUGGGGCCAAUUUCAACCCAGACCACUGACUCCAGUUCAUGCUUACCUUUGUUGCCUCACUUUUUUAAAUGGUAUUUUAAAUUAGGAAUCCAUGCUAAAAGAUAACUUGCAAAGAUAAGUGAUAUUUUCUUAUUUCAAUUAUUGGUUUAAAAUUAGCAUUAAAAAAGGUAAAACCAGCAUGCUCAAACAUUGUUAAUUGAAAAAAAGUGAGUGACUUUAAAAGUUUCUUUAUAUUCAGGGUUUCUCUGGGGAUACUCACAUUGUAUAUUACUGGCUUCUGUUUCAGAAUUGUUCAUUUUAUUUGACAUGAUUGACUUUGGUUGGCCUUUUAUAAUUUACAUAAAACAUAAUUUUCCUCAGUUCUGUAAUCCAGAUUUAACACGUUGAGUAAAUAAGAAUACAGUUAAAUUUACAUAUGGUAAUUUAAGGAUAUUGCAUAGGUAGAACACUUUGUCAGUAAUUAAUCAGUUAGUACCUUAUGUAUUUUUGGUGUUACUUUUCAGUGAUUUAAGGAAAUCUAAGAAAAAUCUGAUUAAAUUUCUUGGUUUUAAAUAGUGAAUAAACAAAAUCUGUUCACUAUAGAAUGAAUAAACAGGUAAAUUUGAUACAAAAAAGCACCUCAGUAUGAUUCUUGAUAAGCUUGUAAGUAGCUAGGAUAACGUUAAAUUGAUUGUUUGGAAUAUCGAAACCAAGCACAGUGAAGAAAGAAAGAAAUAUUUUUAAUUGAGCAAAGAUUGUAUAGAUGGUUCAUUUGGUCAGCCAUCUUGAAUAAUAUAUGGAAAGUUAAAAAAGACUUCUCAAAUACAAAGGAAUAAAGCUAAGAAGCUUUAUGUGAGAGAUUAUUUACUGUGGAAUUGCUUUUCAAACUGGGCUGAGGUGGCAGAUAAGAGCCUGGCUAUACUAAACAUAAGCUUUGUAGUUUUAUUUUAUUAUUUUAAGAGCCAGAGUUGUUCUGUUGGGUAGGCUGGAGUGCAGUGGUUUGAUAAUGGUUCACUGCAGCCUCCAACUCCUGGGCUCAUGCUGUCUUUCUGCUUCAUCUUCGUGAAAGCUGGGACUACUGGUGUGUGCCACCUUGUCUGGCUAAGUUUUAAAUUUUUUUGGAGAGACAGGGUCUCACCGUGUUGCCCAGGCUGUUCUGGAAUUUCUGGCCUCAAGCAAUCCUCCCUCCUUGGUCUCCCAGAAUGUUUUGGGUUUGCAGGUGUGAGCCAUUGUGCCCAGCCUUAUAUUUUGAUUUUUAAAUUAAUUGAUGUGAAUAUUUCCUUUUACUCCUUAACAUAUCAUGGUUUAGUAUUUUUAAACUUUAUUGUAAAAAGUUUAUUACAGAAAGUGGUAUAUUCUAAUUGGGAGCCAUCUUUGCACAUCUCUCCCCAACUCUGCCUUUAGUGAUAUGUCAAUAAGAAAUUGACCAUGGCAGGAGUAUUUACACCAUAGAAAUUGCAGCAAAUCAAGGCAUUCCCCUCCCGUUGUCCCCUCAGAGAGCCAGCUUCCCAGCACCUUAUCAGUUUCAAACAUAAAAAUAAAUUUCCAUAUACACAUCACUCAGCUUCAGUAUUAUCAUCUCAUAUAAUCUUAUAGCCAGUUUUUCCUCUCCUAUCCUGAAGGUAUAUCAGGUACACUGGAGGCAUAUUUUCUAGUCUGAUAUCCAGUGGCAUUUGUCUUAAAGCCAUACAUUUUUUGCCUAGAAAUUAUCUAAAAAAAUGGAGAUCGUGUCUAGAAAGGCAAUUCCACAACCAAGAUAGGUAAAAAUUAUAUUAGGAGUGCUUUUCUAUCAAUUUUCUGAGAACACUGUUCAGAGCUGUGGUUCUUGAGCCAUGUUAUCGCCUGUUAAGUAGUGACCUUGCUGCCUUUGUUUUUGCAGUAAAUACAAGCUGUUUAUUGAGCUGUAUUAGAUAUUAUAUGAUGUAUAAUUAUGAAUUAACUAUUUAAUUUUGAUAAUCCUAGUAAAUGUACUACAGGUCAAGUACUCCUAGUCUGGAAAUCUGAAAUUUCAAAUGGUCUGAAAAUCGCAAACUUUUUCAGUGUCAACAUGAUGCUCAAAAAAUGCUCAUUGCAGCAUUUGAGAUUUCAAAUUUUGGGGUUAGGAAUGUUGAAAUGGUAUAAUGCAAAUACUCCAAAACCUGAAGAAAUAAAAAAUCUUAAAUAUUUCUGGUCUCAAGCACUUCAGAUAAAGGAUACUCAAUUUGUAUUCCUAGUUUGGAGAUAAUAGAUAAGGAGACUUAACAGGCUGGGUUGGUUGGAUUGGUUGCCUAUUGUGGCAGUGGAAAGCUAGGAAUGUUUUUUUUUUUUUACAUUUUUAAGUGUAUUUAAGUCUUAAAUGGUUACAUAAGUACCCUUAUUAAUAGUCUUGAAUUUGCCUCAACCCACAAAGUAAAAAUAUUUACUAUCUGGCCCUUUAAAAAUUAGACCAGACCUAGGUUGGCAGAUAGUAAAAUAUUUAAUGGUCUAAUUAAUGAAAAUUUUACAUUAAUGAAAGUAUUUUCAUGGAUAGUAUUCCUUUUGUUCUUAGAGUAUUUCUUUGAGGUAGGCAGAACGUAUAUUUUAUUCCAGAAUUACUGUUUUAUGCAGUUUUAACUUUACCAACAAGGCAAAUAAUGCUCAAGAGAAGUUGCUCUUCACAUUUAGUAAGCAGCAAGAUACAGUAACUGCUGUUUUCCCCCAGAUUACACCACCAAAUUUAAAUACUGAGUGAGGAAGUAGUGAAUAUCCAAUGAUAUCUUUUUCUUAAGAAUAUUUAUGGUUUUUAAAUGUUUUAAAUAUUUUACAAAAAACUACUGAAGUAACUUUGUCACUUAGGACUGUUCUCAGGAAAGAGUGCUUUGUUAAGAACAGAGCCAUGAAUGACAAAGUCAAAAACUUUCUAGAAAGUCUUUAUUUUUCUGUUAUGAAUAACUGCAUUUUUGAAUUAUCCCAAAUGAUUUUAUAAAUUCUUUAACUUUUAUAUGCCUGCCUGGUAUCCAUGAAAUAAAAGUAUAAUUACUUACCAAAAGAGACAGAAGCAUCAGAUACACUGAAAGGCUCCAAUUGUUUUAUGUUUUUCAGAAAUAAAAGUGACUAUACCCUUUAAUUAACUAUAUGGUAGCUUGGUAAAAUUCUUACAGAAUUUUUUUUUUUUUUGAGACAGUGUUGCUCUGUCACCAGGCUGGAGUGCAGUGGUGUGAUCUUGGCUCACUGCAGCCUCUGCCUCCUGGGUUCAAGUGAUUCUUCUGCCUCAGCCUCCCAAGUAGCUGGGACUACAGGCAUGUGCCACCACGCCCACCUAAUUUUUGUAUUUUUAGUAGAGACGGGGUUUCACUAUGUUGGCCAGGCUGGUCUCAAACUACUAACCGCCUUGGCCUCCCAAAGUGCUGGCAUUACAGGUGUGAGUCACCGCAUCCGGCCAGAGUUUUUAAUGGUUUAUGGUAUUCUGUGAUGAGAAAACACUCCACCAAAUUUCUAGCCUUCCAAAAGUUGCAGUAUCGUGUAUAAGUAUGACAGCAGUUUUAAAACCAGAGUCAGAUUCAAUGUGGCUCUUUUUACAGUUGAAAUUUAUGCUUUAUGUGUAAACAUCAAACACUGGUACCUUAGUGUCACAUUAUCUUUACUCUUUGAUUAUACUCUUCUUGAAAAGUAAAUUUUACUUAUCAAACAAUAAAACAAAAAUUUAGGGAAAGCAUAAAAAAAUCUUUUUUUCUUAAGGCUUCAUGGAAUAUAAUUACAUGUAAUCAGAAUGACAACUUAGGACCCUUUUCUGGGAUUAUGAAAGCAUGGAGUCUUAACCUAAAAGAAGCUAAGUGGAAUUGUUAGAUCUUUUGAUUUCUGUUGUAAUGUACUAUUGGAACUUCAAGUAGAUAUAGUGCAUUAAUAUGAAAUACUUUGAAAUAUACCAUCUUUUAAAAAGAAUGGUACUUAACACAAAAAUCACAUAACACUAGGUAGGAUUCAAGCCUUCAUUUGUGGUCAGCAUAAGUUUCCAUUAGUUGGUCUUCAUUUUGAGGCUUAACAUAUCAAAGUGAGUAUAAAGUUCUACAAUUUAGUCAGUGUGUAUUUCAUGUCAUUUAUGAUGAAAAUGGAAACAUGUAGUUAAGACAAUUAAUUUUCUUCUUCUGUAGCAUCUAACUCUUCAUCCUCAUCAUAUUCUGCUUGUUGAUCCUUUCUUAGUCGACAAGUGGAUACCUGUUAAAAGUUAACACAUUUUUAAAAAUAAAGAUACUAAAAAAAUUUUACAUGCUUGGUAUCUUUUUAUGCUAUUAUAGCGAAGGGCACACAACAAAUAUUUCAGAAAAAUGUCCAUAUGUCGUAACUUUUAGUAGUGAAAAUUCCCUAUGAAUUUUAAGCUUAGAAGUCAGUUUUUUCAUUCAUAUUUUUUUGAAUAAAAAUGUAUAAUUAACCAUUUGAUUCUAGUUGGAUAGCCAUCAAUACUUCAAAAACAUUACCUUAAAAGUAUAGACUCAGGCUGGGCGCAGUGGCUCAUGCCUGUAAUCCCAGCACUUUGGUAGGCUGAGGUGGGUGGGUCACCUGAGGUCAGAAGUUUGAGACCAGUCUGGCCAACAUGGUGAAACCCCAUCUUUACUAAAAAAAAUACAAAAUUAGCUGGGCAUGGUGGCGCAUGCCUGUAUUAGUCCCAGGUACCUGGGAGGCUGAGGCAGGAGAAUCACUGGAACACAGGAGGCAGAGGUUGCAGUGGGCUGAGAUUGUUCCACUGCACUCCAGCCCGGAUGACAGAGCGAGACUCCGUCUCAAGAAAAAAGUAUAAACUCAGCAUAUUAUGUUAACAACAAAUUUUGGCUCAUAAAAACAGUAUUUGAGAAUCAUUAAAUGGCGAAAAUAGAAGGAUAUUUCAGCUAGGGAGUGGGACAGAAAUACUGAUAUAAAAGUAAUGUGAUUUAAAUGGAAUGAGGAUUGAGAAUCUGAAUUCACCAGCUUUAAGUUGCUUGACUGCUGCACAUGGGGUAUGUUGCUUAAAACUUCUCUGAGGGUGAUUAUGUCUAACCCAGGGGACAAUAGGAAAUGUCUGGAGAUGCUGUUUGUCACUAUUGGGGCUGUGUGUUUACGUGUGCUACUGGCAUCUUCUGGGUAGAGGCUGGGGAUGUUAUUAUCUGCUUAGCUUUUUUUUUUUUUGAGACAGAGUUUCGCUCUUGUUACCCAGGCUGGAGUGCAAUGGCGCGAUCUCGGCUCACCGCAACCUCCUCCCCCUGGGUUCAGGCAAUUCUCCUGCCUCAGCCUCCUGAGUAGCUGAGAUUACAGGCACGCGCCACCAUGCCCAGCUAAUUUUUUUUUGUAUUUUUAGUAGAGACGGGGUUUCACCAUGUUGACCAGGAUGGUCUCGAUCUGUUGACCUCGUGAUCCACCCGCCUCGGCCUCCCAAAGUGCUGGGAUUACAGGCUUGAGCAACCGCGCCCGGCCCAUUAUCUGCUUAAUAUCUUUACCAUAUACAGGAGAAUACUCCGUCCCCUUCUUCCUCCCUUGUGGGCCCAAUUAUUUGUCCCAAAGUCAGUAGUGCUGAGGUUGAGAAACCUAGGGAUAAAGCAUUCUAAAGUGCUAUACAAGUGUUAAUUAAGGUAACAAUAUUAGUUGUAGUCAAAAUGUUAAUAUGUACUAUACAAGUGAAUUUAUGAAAUUUAUGUUCAAGGUACUUAAUGCUGGAAUAAUAAAAAUAUUGGGUUGGGAGAGAUAUACGUGUAAAACAAAUGCUUAGAGGAGAAUCAAAUGAAAAUCAAAUAGAAAAGAGAAAUGAGAAUUUUUUUUUUUUAAAUUAAGAUGAGGUUUCACCAUGAUGGCCAGGCUGGUCUUGAACUCCUGACCUCAGGUGAUCCACCCACCUCAGCCUCCCAAAGUGCUAGGAUUAUAGGCGUGAGCCACCGUACCCAGCCGAGAAACUGUUUUCAAAAUACAACUUUUAUUUACCUAAAAGUCGUAUACCUAAAAGUUGUAUUUUGAAAACAGUUUGCUGAAUUUUGUAUUCUGAAGGCUAGAUAUGAAAAAAAGGGUUUGGCAAGUUGUGGCCCAGCCAGCCUCCUGCUUUUGUAAAUAGAAUUCUAUUAGAACACAGUCACACUGCUUUAUGUGUUUAUAGUUGUUGGGUAGAAACCAUAUGGUCCACAAAGCCUAAGGCAUUUAGUCUCCACAUCUUACAGAAAAAGAACCUGCUCUAGAUACUGGGAAACUCAGGCUUUCUGGAUAUAGAAAAAAAUGAAAUGAUUUCUGUAUUCAGCAAAAGCCCUUUAUUGGUAUAAUUCAGUAUUAAAUUUAUAUUUAUAAUUUAAUCAGAUCCACUAAGUCUUGACAGAUUUAAACCUGAGUUUGACUUCAGAAUCUGUGGUUUUCAUAUUAUAGCAGAUAACACAUCUGCAUUAGUAUUCUUCUUUUUCACUUCUGCUCUCAAGUGUUAUGCUUUAUUACAUAUAAAUUACAGUGUAAAAGAUACUUAAGAAAUAACAGCUGCACCUAGUGGAAUCUUCGGUCAUUUUAUAGAAGAGGAAGUAGGUCUGGGGAGAAUAAGUUACAUGAGGUGUGAUGACCGAGGGGAAACAUUUUUAGAACUCAACAAUUCCAAAGGCAGCAGCUCAAAUUCCUUUAGAUUAUGGUUUCUUACUCACCUGUCCUGUUCCAGAUACACACUUAGCUGACAGUGAUCUCUGAAGAGGUGACUUUGAAUUUGCUCUUACAAUAUCUAAACGAGAUGAAUAAUCUGGUGCAUACAGAGAAUUUCGGAAAACCUAUUGUAAUGAUAAAAAUAUAAAGUAGAUGAUAAAAGACAGUCAAGUUCUUUAGUUAAAAUUUUUUUUAAACAACUCCCCCCAAAUGGACAAAAUUCCAGUUAUUACAAAUGUAAAACAAAAAAAUAAGUUAGAAAGAUGAAAGCUAAAAAUUAUGUUUGAACUAUGUAAGAUGAUGGCAGAUAUAAAUUAGUCAUGAAACAAUCAUUUAAAUGCUUUUGCCAGGAGAACUGCAAAAGUUCAGACCCUUAAAGAGCAUGCAAGCUAGUAGGGAGGCUGCGGCUCACACCUUUGAUUCUCUCUGUUCCUCAUAUUUUCAACUGUUACUAAUUUAACUUCACCGCAGUACUGCUAUGGAAAAUCACCUUAGAGUAAAUUGGAACCACUAUAAUUUAUGGAUUCCAACCUUAACUAGUAUCUGGAAUGCCAUGACUUCUCAGCUCUCUUUCCUUAAGGCACUAUUUCCAAAUGUUACUCUUAAGCCUGCCUAUCUCCAUCUUUUCUAUCCUACUCCCACCAUUUCUCUAAUAGACUAGUAGGUAAGGUUAUCAGAUGUCAGUCUCUUCAACUUUCCUCUUUUCCUCAAGCUUUUUGCCCCUCCUUUUCCUUUUCUUUCUUAAAAUACAAUUCUGAUUUAUUUCCAAUGUGCAUUUUUCUAAUCAAAACUUCAAACCCAACCAACAAACAAAAGUUUUUGUUUUCCACAGGUUCCCUCUCCUAGAAAACAAGGUCAAGAUCAGUCUCUCUCUCUUUUUAAUUACCUCAAGGUAUAACUUCUUAAAAGACUUUGAAUAUUUGACUUCAUCUCCAUUUUUUUCUAAGAAAUUUCCAUUUAUUUUUCAACAAACUACAAUUGAGCUUUUCACUUCCACUAAAAUUGCUCUUGCCCAAAUCAUCAAGGUCUUUUUUUUCUCUUCCUCAUUGACCCCCUUCCUGAAACUUACAUGCUACUAAGUUCUUUCAUUGUCCUAGCUUCUCAAUUUCUGGUUUUUUUUUUUUUUUUUUGAGACGGAGUUUCGCUCUUGUUACCCAGGCUGGAGUGCAAUGGCGCGAUCGUGGCUCACUACAAUCUCCGCCUCCUGGGUUCAGGCAAUUCUCCUGCCUCAGCCUCCUGAGUAGCUGGGAUUAUAGGCACGAGCCACCAUGCCCAACUAAUUUUUUGUAUUUUUAGUAGAGACGGGGUUUCACCAUGUUGACCAGGAUGGUCUUGAUCUCUUGACCUUGUGAUCCACCCGCCUCGGCCUCCCAAAGUGCUGGGAUUACAGGCAUGAGCCACUGCGCCCGGCUUGUUUCUUUACAUCUCCUUUUCUACUACUUAAACCUAAAAUACUUUUAAAGGGUUUCCUUUAGGCCACUUUAUAAAAACAAUGCUGCUGGGCACAGUGAGUCAUGCCUAUAAUCCCAGCACUUUGGGAGGCCAAGGCAGGAGGAUCACUUAAGCCUAGGAGUUUGAGACUAGUCUGGGCAACAUGGCGAAACCCCAUCUCUACAAACAAUUAAAAAAAAAAAUCAGCCAGUGGUGGUGGUGCAUGCCUGUAGUCCCAGCUACUUGGGAGGCUGAGGCAGGAGAUUCACUUGAGUCUGGGAGGCAGUGGUUGCAGUUAACCGAGAUCAUGCCACUGCACUCCAUCCUGGGUGACAGAGCGAGACCCUGUCUCAAAGAAGUUUCUCUCAAAGAUAUAUUUACACCGUUAAUGACUACCCUUCAACUAAUCCCCUGACAAGCAUACCCUGUGACAGCUGUAUUCAUGCUCCCAACUAUCUCCUGCUCUAGAUUAGCACUGUCCAGUAGAACUUUCUGAGAUGAUGGAAAUGAUUGCUAUUGUGUGCUGUCCAAAAAUGUAGCCACUGGCCAUGUGUAGCUACUAAGCACUUGAAAUGUGGUUCAUGUGGCUGAGGAGCUGAAUUUUUAAAUUAAUUGAACUUUAAAUAGUCAUAUAUGCCUAGUGGCUACUUUACUAAACAGUAUAGCUCUAGAUUAGCUAUUAUAAUGAAAGACAUUAUCUUUACCUAGAAGACCAAGCUAUAAGCCUGGCCAUUCUUCCUAAAUUUCUCACCCGACACUUUAGGAGGCCAAUGCAGGCAGAUCGCUUGAGCCACAGGAGUUCAUUACCAGCCUGGGCAACAUGGCGAAACUCCAUCUCUACAAAAAAUACAAAAAUUAGUCAUAUUGGACAUGUCUACAAUUCCAGCUGCUUGGGAGGCUAAGGUGGGAUGAUCACCUAAGCUCAGAGGUCAAGGCUGCAGUGAGCUGUGAUUGUGCCACUGCAUACCAGCAGGCAAAAGGAGGAGACCUGGUUUCAAAAAAAAAAAUACACACACACACGUUUCUCACCUGAGGCACUUUUACUGACUCUACAUACCUUUUAUAGCUUACUUUUUAAUUAAUGCCAAAAGUUAUUGCUCUCUUUCUUUUAGACAGGGAGCCACUCUGUCACUCAGGCUAAACUGCAGUAAUACAGUCAUGGCUCACUGUAUCCUCAAACUGCUGGGCUCAAGUGAUUCUCCUGCCUCAGCCUCCUGAGUGGUCCCUCUGCCACUCAAUGCAGAAGGACCACAGGUGCACUCUGGCUAAUUUUUUCUUUUUUUGUACAGCGUCUUGCUAUGUUGCCCAGGCUGGUUUCAAACUCCUGGCCUCAAGGAAUUCUGCUUCAGCCUCCCAUAAUGCUGAGAUUACAAGUGUGAGCCACCACGCUCAGCCUACUUAUUCUAAAACUUUCUGUGGCUCUUGACUGUAAAUGCAGAACAUAAGUUAUACUAGGCCUUUGCAAUGCUGGUUCUUUAGCCUAGAAUUACAGCAAACUUACUUGUCCUUCAAGAACAAUAUAAAACUCCAUCUUUCUUAUGCUUCCUCCUAUUGUCUUAAUAGUUCCUACUGUUCAUAACCUCAAGUAUUGCUUUUAACUCAGUGUUUUGUAGUUGAUUACAUUAUCUGUCUCAGCUAGUCAUAAGUUCUCUAGAGCAAGGGAGCCCUGUUUUAUCUAUGCAACUCCUCCCUGGCAAAUGGAAGAUGUUAAUUAAAUUCACUUUUGCCAAAUGAAUGUUUUGCCAACAGUCAUUUGGCAAAAGUGAAUUUAAUAAACAUCUUCUAUUGGGGGUAAAAGGAGACCCAAAUUAGGGGAUGGCUACACAUUUCUUUAAGAGAACUAUAGGACACGAAAGGAAUCAAGGAUAAAAGAUAGGACUUGAGACAUGUAUUUUAAAGGAAUUCAGGGGUGCUAAUUAGGUUAACAGGUUACCAAGGACCCAAUUCUAUUUUGGUGCCAGACUUGGAGCACUGACAUCCUAGUGUGAUAUAAAAAUGCAAUGACUCACUAAUCAACUGGUAUUUGGAGAAGAUAUAUUUUUGUUAAAACGUUCCUUUAUAACUUUUCUAACUUUUCUAGCAAAGAUUGAAUUUAAAGUGGGAAAUGAAAAGCAGUAUGUAACCCUUGGGAUACAAGUCUAUACCAGUUAAAUAUUUAUUAAAAUUAAUCUUUUACUUCAGUUUUUUGGCAAUAAUGCAUUUUCCGACAUGGUCCAAGAUGUCUUCUAAGAGUGAUUCUCAAGAUCUGAAUGUGCUCUGAAGUUAAUAUAGAGGUGACCUGACAAUACUUAUGUGAAGAACAAGUAAGAUAGACUGUGCAGGUAACCUCUAUAAGCAUGAUGGAAACUUACGACAAGGAAGAUCAUGAACAAAGUAUGAAGAUAUGCAUGUUGAUCUAAGCAGGGGGUGAGGUAAUCAGUAGGUGGGGAAAAAAAUGGAAACCAGGCAAGUUUUUAAUAAGUAUGAUCUUAUUUUGUUAAUUAUCUGAUAACAAAAUAAGCAUUAAUGUGGAGAGAACUGGGCUGGGCUGGGCAUGGUGGCUCACGCCUGUAAUCUCAGCACUUGGGAGGCCGAGGUGUGGGGAUCACCUGAGGUCAGGAGUUUGAGACCAGCCUGGCCAACAUGGUGAAACCCCAUCUUUAAAAAAAAAAAAAAAAAAAAAAAGAACUGGGCUGAAUAAGAACAAGGUAGAAAAUACUGAGGCAUGGAUUAUUUUAGAAGGCAGUAGUCAGAUACACAUUUCCCGUCAUCCCUGCUCUCCUAAGAUAACCCAGAAAGGAGUGGUCAUAUACUUUGGAAGAUAGCCAUAUAAAUAAUUAUCAGUGGCCUGUGAUUCUUUCCUCCAGCCCCAUUCUUUCCUAGACAAUUAGAAAAAUACUUAAGGGAGCAUUAAGAGCCUUUUGAUUGCUACUCAGUGAUAUGUGUCAGUCUGAGAAGAUGGGGUCCAGAUAUAAGGGACUUGUAACUAUGAUUCACAAUGAUCUUUAUUGUCACUUCAUGUAAGUUAUAGAGGGCUCAGGUAUACUGGAGUGGCAACUGACUGAUAAAUAGCAUUAUGCUAAAAUACAAUUUUGGAUUUUAUAUUAAAGUAUCUCUAGAUACCUGGGAAUACCUUAGAGGAGGAAUGGCUUCUGAGAAGGGCUGGGACCUCUCUUAGUUGUUAGUGUCCCUAUGAUAGUUACAAACCAGAAAGGAGUCAGGUUUUCUUGAGUGUGGAAACUCCUAGGGGAAAACUGAACUAAGAGUCGAUGACAAGCCAAAACACUCAUUUUUAAUGCUGAAGAAGUAAACUAGCCAGGCAUGAUAGCAUGUGCCUAUAAUCUAAGCUAUUUGGCAGGCUGAGUCAGGAGGUUCCCUUGUGUCCAGGUGUCCCAGACCAGCUUCGGCAACAUUUGGAGACCUCUGUCUCAACAGCAACAAAGCCAACUAGCUCAACUGACAUAGUGACUGACUAACAGUAAAGCCUCCACUUUGUCUGAUUAACAAAGAGAUCUUUAACAAAAGGGUUUUAAGAACACUUGGGCAAAGAGGAAAUGGCAGCUCUCCAGAAUAUAGAAUAUUCAAUAAAGGAUGUCAGGAUAACCAUCUUCCAUUUGAAAACUGUAAAGUUAUGUAUCUAUGUCAUACCACAUGCAAAACACAGCUGCCAGCUAAAUAUUUAAUGUUUAAAAUACUUAAAAAAUCAUAAAAAUAACUAGAAAAUAUAAGCAAGUAUUUAUAUAACCUAGGGGAUGAAAAUCUAAGUAUGAUACCAAGGAAGAAACCAAAAAAGAGAUGGACAGGGCAAUAAAAAGAAAACUCAGAGGUGGCAAAAACACUGUAAGCAAUAAAAUGAGAAAAUACAUUUGCAACAUACUUUCCAUUUAAUUUGAAGGGCUAAUUUUCUCAAUCUAAAGAAUUUUUAGAAAUUAGUAAGAAAUACCAACAUCUAACAGAAAUAUAGGUUAAGGAAAAAUGUAAUUUACCAAAGAAAUGUAUUGCUAAAUACACUAAAUUAUUACUGCUCAGCAGUAAUAAUGCAAAUGAGAGACUGAUGUUUACCUAUCGUCUGUUAUUAAAAAUACUGCAACAUAUGGUGUCAACAUUGUCAUAUUAAAAAAAAGACACACACACACACACACACACACACAAACAGGCCGGGUGCAGUGGCUCAUGCUUGUAAUCUCAGCACUUUGGGAAGCCUAGGCAGGUAGAUCACCUGAGGUCAGGAGUUCUAGACUACCCUGGCCAACAUGGUUAAAUCCUGUUUCUACUAAGAAUACAAAAAUUAGCUGGGUGUGGUGGUGCAUGCCUAUAAUCCCACCUACUUGGGAGGCUGAGACAGGAGAAUCACUUGAACCCGGGAAGUGGAGGUUACAGUGAGCUGAGAUCACGGCUGCACUACAGCCUGUGUGACAGCAAGACUCUCUCAAAAACAAACAAACAAACAAACUCAUUUUACCUGCAAGGUUUAGUAGGAACGUAAACUAGGUUAACUUUUGUGGAGAGACGUUUUAAGAAUAUAUAUUAAAAGUGUAUGCUCUGAAGGAGGAGCUCCACUUCCUAUCUAAAGAGAAUAACUGGGCCAGUACAAAGGCUGCUGUUUAAGGAUGUGUAAUGAUGCAGUGACAGCUACAAUGCAAAAAUAACCUAGACAUUCACCAAUGAGGACUGGUUAAAUGAAUUCAUAUAUCCGUACUGCAAAAUAUCAUAAGGAUACAAAAAAAAUGAUAUGGAUGUGUUUCUUAGCAUAAAUAUAUCCAUGAUAUAGAAAGUUUUAAGAAGAGAUGCUAUAUAUAUGGUGGUCCCAUUUAUGUAUAACUGUUAAGGCUAAAAAUAGUACCUUCCUCAUAAUGUUUUGAGGAAUUAAUGAGUUCAUUCAUGUAAAAUACUUAGAAUGGUACCUGGCACACAGUCAAUGUUUAAGAAAUGUUUGUUACUAUUAUUACUAUAUCUCUGUAUAUAUGCAAAAGAAAAGUUUGGAAGGAUAAAAUAAAAAAUGGUUAAUAUUUUUGGGUGUUGAGAUUAAAGUUGUCUGUUGUUUUAUGGAUACGUUUUAUGAUUUAUAUUUGUAAUAAAAAUAAAGGUAUAAAUAUUAUCAUGUUUCUUGCUCAUGUCAGCUACUUCAUUACAGGAAUAACUCCUGGUUAAGUACCUUUUUUGUAAUUGUGAAAUUCCCUUGACAUUGAUCAUAUACUGAUGACUUUUCCUAAUAUAUGGAAAACAAAUGGGAUUAUGAUUCUUCCUUUUUUUUUUUUUUUUUUUGAGACGGAGUCUCGCUGUUGUUACCCAGACUGGAGUGCAAUGGCACGAUCUCGGUUCACCGCAACCUCCGCCUCCUGGGUUCAGGCAAUUCUCCUGCCUCAGCCUCCCGAAUAGCUGGGACUACAGGUGCGCACCACCAUGCCCAGCUAAUUUUUGUAUUUUUAGUAGAGACGGGGUUUCACCUUGUUGACCAGGAUGGUCUCAAUUUUUUGACCUCGUGAUCCACCCGCCUCGGCCUCCCAAAGUGCUGGGAUUAAAGGUGUGAGCCACCACGCCCGGCCUCUGAUUCUUCUUCCAUUUUGCACACUAAGUUCUUUACUAGCCUAUUUCAAGAGAGACACUCUUCAAAGUUCCUAUGAAAAGUCUGUCUAAAAUGUAUUACCUUGCUGAUUAAUGCCAAUACCAAAAUUCAAAUGGACUUAUCGAUUAAACUCACCUCAAAUACAUAAUGCAGUUAUGAGCAGUGCUCACUACUGCUAAUCAUUUCUGCUUCCAGAGUGGUUAAAGAAGGAGCCACAAACUCUGCCCUACCAGAAGCAGUAGCCUGAUAACAGGUAAGAACAGGAAUGUUAUGUCUGUUUCUCCCCAAAAUAAGAGUGGUAUCAGCCAGGUGAGGUGGCUCAUGCCUGUAAUCUUAGCACCUUGGGAGGCUGAGGCAGACAGAUUAUGAGGUCAGGAGUUUGAGACCACCAUGGCCAAGAUGGUGAAACCCCAUCUCUACUAAAAAUACAAAAACUGGCCUGGCAUGGUGGCGGGUGCCUGUAAUCCCAGGUACUCAGGAGACUGAGGCAGGAGAAUUGCUGGAACCCCAGAGGUGGAGGUGGCAGAGAGCCAAGACUGUGCCAUUGCACUCCAGCCUGGGUGACAGAGACUCAAAAAGAAAAAAGUGGCAUCAAUAAUUUGUCUUUUCCAAGUAUUUAUCUCACAGAAAUGUUUAUGAGACAUGCUAAGAUCAACAUGGCAAUAUCUAAAUACUGUUUAUAUUGGAAAUAAGGGGGCCAGCCAGGCAUAGUAGGUCACACUUGUAAUCCCAGCACAUGCGGAGGUAGAGGUAGGAGGACUGCUCGAGCCCAGGAGUUUGAGACCAGCCCGGGCAACAUAGGGAGACACAAUCUCUAUAAAAGAAAAAGAGUAAAUGGGCUGUAAUGUAACCCUUUUGAUUGAUCUUUGAGGCCACCGUUAGGAGAUUUCUACAUCCCUCUUUAUUAUAAAAGAUCCCAAAUGUGGCCUUACUUAGAAAGGAGGCAAUUUGACAAUGAUGAGGAAUGAUGUACAGAAUGGAGAUUCAGAACCCUAACAGACUCUAGUAUUAAAAUCUGGUGCUCAUAUUUCUGGGAGUUUGCUAGGGUUAUGGGAGUUUGCAUUUAAAUUGUAGGUUGUUGCAGAUGACAUAAUUUAUAUGUGAAAAAUUCUAAGGAAUCCACCUAAAAAACUAUUAGAACUAAUAAUCAAGUUUGGCAAGGUUGUAAGACAUAGGCAGUAUACAAAAAUCAAUUAUAUUUCUAUACAUUUGUGACAAGCAAUCUGAAAAUUAGGAAAAAUCCAUUUACGAUAGCAACAGGAAAUACACAAUACUUAGAAAAUAGUUUAACAAAAAAUACAAUUUAUAGUCUGCAAACUACAAAUAGUGUUUAAAGAAAUUAAAGAAUAUUAAAAUAAAUGGACAAACAUCCCAUGUUCAUGGAUUGGAAGAAUUAGUCUUAAGAUAUCAAUACUCCCCAAAUUGAUCUACAUAUUUGAUACAAUCCUUAUCAGAACUCAAACUGAUUUCUUUAUAGAAACUGACAAACUGAUUCUAAGAUUCAUAUAGGAUUGCAAUAAUCCAGAAUAGCCAUAUCAAUCUUAAGAAAGAAGAAAGUAUGAAGACUCACAUUACUUGAUUUUCAAACUUACCAUAAAGCAAUGUUAAGACAGUGGUAUUACCAUAAGAAUAGACACACAUAGAUCAAUGAAAAGGAAUGAGAGCUCAGAAAUAAAACCAUGUCAACUGAUUUUCAACAAAGAUGCCAAGACCAUUCAAUUGAGGAAAGAACAGUUUCUUCAACAAAAGGUGCUGAAAUUUAACCUUUACAAAAUUUAACCAUAUAUAAAAAUUCAAAUGGAUCAAAGAUAUAUAAGAGCUGAAAUUAUAAAACUGUUAGAGAAUAUAGGAAUAAAUCUUCAUGACCUUGGAUUUGGCAAUGGAUUCUUAGCUAUAACAUCAAAACACAAGUAACAAAAGACAGAUAAAUUGAGUUUCAUCAAAAUUAACACUUGUGCUUCAAAGACACUAUCAAGAAAGUGACAAGGCAACCUACAGAAUGAGAAAAAUUUCAGAUUAUCUGAUACAGGACUUAUAUCUAGAAUAUAUAAAAAUCUCUCACAAAUAAAAACCGUCAAUUAAAAAAAGGGUAAAGGAUCUGAAUAGCCAUUCGUUCAAGGCAGAUAUGCACAAAUGGCCAAAAAGCAUCAUGAGGCCAGGAACAGUGACUCAUGCCUGUAAUCCCAGCACUUUGGGAGGCUGAAGCAGGAGGAUGACUUGAGGACCAGGAAUUCAAAACCAUCCUGGGCAACAUAAUGAGACCUUGUCUCUAUUUUAAGAAAAGAAAAAAGCUGGCUGGGCGCGGUGGUUCAUGCCUAUAAUCCCAGCACUUUGGGAGGCCAAGGUGGGGAAUUAAUUACCUGAAGUCGGCACUUCGAGACCAGCCCAACCAGUCUGGAGAAAGCUCAUCUCUACUGAAAAUACAAAAUUAGCUAGGCGUGGUGGUGCAUGCCUGUACUCCCAGCUACUCAGGAGGCUGAGACAGGAGAAUCACUUGAAUCCAGGAGGUGGAGGUUGCUGUGAGCUGAGUUCGUGCCAUUGCACUUCAGCCUGGGUAACGAGCAAAAUUCCAUCUCAAAAAAAAAAAAAAAAAAAAACCAAAAAAAAAAAAACAAAACCAAAAAGCAUCAGGGAAUGCAAGUCAAAACUACAAUGAGACUACUACUACAAUGAAACUACUACUUCAGACCCAUGAGGAUGGCUAUAAUCAAGAAGUCUGAUGAGUAGCAAGUACUGAAAAUGCAGAGCAGUUGUAACCCUCAUAUAUUGCUGGUGGGCAAACACAAUGGUGCAUUCACUUUAGAAAACAGUCUGGCACUUCUUCAAAUGCUUAAGCAUAAAGUUACCAAUGAUCCAGCAAUUCCACUCCUGGGUAUAUAUUCAAAAGAAAUAAAAAUAUAUGUCUACAUAAAAACUUGUACAUAAAUGUUUAUAUUAGUAUUCACAAUAGCCAAAAGGUGAAAACCACCAAAAUGUCCAUGAAAUGAGUAAACAAAAUGUUGUAUAUCCAUACAAUGGAAUAUUAUUUGGUCAAAAAAUGGAAUGAAGUACUGAUACAUCCUACAACAUGGAUAAGCCUUGAAAGCAGGCAAGGUGAAAGAAGCCAGUCACAGAAGGCAAGAUGCUUGAUGAUUCCAUUCCAUGAAAUUUGCAGAAUAGCUUAAUCCGUACAGACAAAGAUUAGUGGUGGUUGCUUAGGGUUGGGAGGCCGGCGGGGGGUAAAGCUAAACUGUACAAGGUUGAGGUGGUGACAAUGUUCUAACAUUGAGUAGUGAUGGUUAUAUAUAUGUGAACUCACUUAAAACCAGAGUUGCACAAUAAAUUAUAUCCCAAUGUUUUAAAAGUGUAGGUUUCUUCCUGUCUUUUUAAAAAAUUUUUCUUCUGUGACCAAGAGACUUCUUGAAAUCAAGAGACUUCCUUCUUUUGGGGGCACGAUAGAGGAAAGCUUAGAAGCUCUUUUCUUCUCUGUGUACCCUUCACUGUAUAGCACCUCACUCCAUCUCCUGUUGCUUCAGGAAGUCCCAGGCAGCAGGAAUUGUAGCUGGGAAUGCUGCAGUCACUUUCUCUGCCCGGGUUUGGUACUUUGUAAUGCUCAGGGAAUUAAAACCAGCAUGCAGGCAGAACACAGAAGUGAGCCCAAAGAUCAGAGUAGAGACAAAUUUUUGUGUAAAUAAAAAAUGUGCAGGUCUGAGGAACAGUGAUGGAAUAAGGAAUCAGUCCCAUCACAAAAGAAAAGCCCUUAUCCAACAGUGGUAUCAGGCAUCCAUUUUUUCAGGUUAAAGCUAAAUAAUUAUCUUAAUAAUUCUCCUUCCUCCCUGAGUUUAAGAGGGGAUGUCAGCAAUUGUAAAUCUUUAUACCCUGACCAUACUCUCCCAGCUCAGUAAAGGAAUUUAUCUUGGGACAGCCCCCUGAGAUGCUCUUCUGUGAGUAGCAAUCUAUUACACAGAAGAGUACAGAGCCUGUGACUGAAUUGAGCAGCUCAGAAAUCUUUGAAACUACGACAGGAAAUUAAAAUAAAAGAUGUAAAUGAAUACUGUUACAUGGAUUUCAGAGAUAAAUGAUAUAAUUAAGUGUCAGAUAAUGCUUACUUUAUUGAAAGAAUAUAGCUUAUGAAGGAAGAUUUAUUUGUCAAUAGUAGUAAAAUAAAAGCAAACAUAUUUAAUGCUCAUUACAGGAAAAUCUUCAGUGGGCCAAAAAGAGCCUUAGAUGAAUUUUAAAGUCUGUAAGAUGGUCAUAAGCGGUCCUUCAAGUCUUGUCAAGAUGGCUAUCAAAAAGACCUGCUGAAGUUCAUGAUCCCCAAGAAAGUUUCAAAUCCACAUAUGUGUUAGAAUUGGCAAUUCCUGUGAUUUUGUUGACUAAGAUGCCAUAUCAUAGUAGAUGCGAAUUUAUGUGGUUGGCUACUAUUACCCUGUUUACUUAUUUGAUAAUAUGUACUUAUUAUAAAGUAUUAAGCUAUAAAAAUUAAUGACUGUAUUGUAACAGAAAUCAGAUUAAAAUAUUGUUUUAUA